rnacentral:rRNA from 1 species
UGGGGAAUAUUGCACAAUGGGCGCAAGCCUGAUGCAGCCAUGCCGCGUGUAUGAAGAAGGCCUUCGGGUUGUAAAGUACUUUCAGCGAGGAGGAAGGCGAUAAGGUUAAUAACCUUGUCGAUUGACGUUACUCGCAGAAGAAGCACCGGCUAACUCCGUGCCAGCAGCCGCGGUAAUACGGAGGGUGCUAGCGUUAAUCGGAAUUACUGGGCGUAAAGCGCACGCAGGCGGUCUGUUAAGUCAGAUGUGAAAUCCCCGGGCUCAACCUGGGAACUGCAUUUGAAACUGGCAGGAUUGAGUCUUGUAGAGGGGGGUAGAAUUCCGGGUGUAGCGGUGAAGUGCGUAGAGAUCGGGGGGAAUACCGGUGGCGAGGGCGGCCCCCUGGACAAAGACUGACGCUCGGGUGCGAAAGCGUGGGGAGCAAA